rnacentral:lncRNA from 1 species
CGAGGACCCCGCCGCGGUCGCGGGCGUCGACGCCGCCGAGAUCGGGGAGGGGCAGACCAACGACUUCCUCCGCGACAUCCAGGCCCCGCGCGCCAAGGCCUUGGCUGUGGCGUCCAAGCCCAAGCCCGGCGUUGCCGAGAGCAGCCACGGCGAGAGCGAGGAGGAGGCGCCGUUCGACGAGCUCUGCGACGAGGACAAGAUCGUGGCCUUCUUCAAGCGGCUGCUGAGCGAAUGGAACCAGGAGCUGGACGAGACGCCCGAGGCGGAGCGGCGCACGGCCAGGGGCAAGGCCGCGGUGGCCACGUGCAAGCAGUGCGCGCGCUACCUGGAGCCGCUCUUCAGGCUGUGCAGGAAGAAGGCCCUCCCCGGCGACGUCCGGCGCGCGCUGCUGGACGUGGUGCGGUGCUGCGCGCGGCGGGACUACCUGGCGGCCACGGACAGCUACAUCAAGCUGGCGAUCGGCAACUCGCCGUGGCCGAUCGGGGUGACCAUGGUGGGCAUCCACGAGCGGUCGGCCCGGGAGAAGAUCCACGCCAACGGCGUCGCCCACGUGAUGAACGACGAGACGACGAGGAAGUACCUGCAGUCGGUGAAGCGGCUCAUGACCUUCUGCCAGCGGAGGUACCCCACGGACCCGUCCAGGUCGGUCGAGUUCAACAGCCUCGCCAACGGCAGCGACCUGCACUCCCUCCUCCUCCUCGCCGAGAAGGGCGCCGAGAAGCACCCGGAGGAGACGCUCCGGCUGGUGGCUGCCUCCUGACGACGAAUCACC